AUGAACGCUGGCGGCGUGCUUAACCCAUGCAAGUCGAACGAAGCACUUUAUUUGAUUUCCUUCGGGACUGAUUAUUUUUUGACUGAGUGGCGGACGGGUGAGUAACGCGUGGGUAACCUGCCUUGUACAGGGGGGUAACAGGUGGAAACGGCUGCUAAUAACGCAUAAGCGCACGGCCUCGCAUGAUGCAGGGUGAAAAACUCCGGUGGUAUAAGAUGGACCCGCGUUGGAUUAGCUAGUUGGUGAGGUAACGGCCCACCAAGGCGACGAUCCAUAGCCGACCUGAGAGGGUGACCGGCCACAUUGGGACUGAGACACGGCCCAAACUCCUACGGGAGGCAGCAGUGGGGAAUAUUGCACAAUGGGCGAAAGCCUGAUGCAGCGACGCCGCGUGAGCGAAGAAGUAUUUCGGUAUGUAAAGCUCUAUCAGCAGGGAAGAUAAUGACGGUACCUGACUAAGAAGCACCGGCUAAAUACGUG
rnacentral:rRNA from 1 species